rnacentral:misc_RNA from 1 species
GGAUUUUAAGAGUAACGGGUUGGUGGAAGACAGUGUUACAUAUAUGACGCUGAUCAAGGGAUUGUGUAAGGUCAACAGGAUAGAGGAAGCGAUGGAACUUUUAGAAAGAAUGAGGAUGAAUGUGUGUAAACCGGAUGUUUUUGCACACACAGCUAUGGUCAAGGUUGGAGAAGGUAAUUUAGAUGGAAGUUUGCAGGUUUGGGAGGAGAUGAAGAAAGAUGGGGUGG